GACGAACGCUGGCGGCGUGCUUAACACAUGCAAGUCGAACGAAGUGGCGGACGGGUGAGUAACGCGUGAUCAACCUGCCCUUCAGAGGGGGUCAACAGUUGGAAACGACUGCUAAUACCCCAUACUGAAGGAGGGGUUGGCGGCGGAUUAGCUGGUUGGGGGGGUAAAGGCCCACCAAGGCGAUGAUCAGUCGCCGGGCUGAGGAGAUGAACGGCCACAUUGGGACUGAGAAACGGCCCAGACUCCUACGGGAGGCAGGAGGGGGGAAUCUUCCGCAAUGGGGGAAAGUCUGACGGAGCAACGCCGCGGGAGUGAUGACGGCCCUUGGGUUGGAAAGCUCUGUUAAUCGGGACGCGGUACCGGAAGAGAAAGCCACGGCUAACUACGUGCCAGCAGCCGCGGUAAUAC
rnacentral:rRNA from 1 species